UACGUAGGGGGCUAGCGUUGUCCGGAUUUAUUGGGCGUAAAGAGCGUGUAGGCGGCCAUGUAGGUCCGGUGUGAAAACUCGAGGCUUAACCUCGAGAUGUCAUCGGAAACCAUUUGGCUAGAGUCCGGAAGAGGAGAGUGGAAUUCCUGGUGUAGCGGUGAAAUGCGCAGAUAUUAGGAAGAACACCAAUGGCGAAAGCAGCUCUCUGGGACGGUACUGACGCUGAGACGCGAAAGCGUGGGGAGCGAACAGG
rnacentral:rRNA from 1 species